AGACCCGUAACGACAUAUCUCAGACAAAGGAAACCUCACUAAAACCUUGAGCAUGAAAUCCUAAUUCCAGAAACGGACUCGCGGCAUAAGCCGUCGCAGCCAUCGCUUUGUGAAAGAGCCGAUAUCGCUUCUCUUUUCGCUAGGUUUACUAUGUCUUUGGUAGUCGGUUUCUUGAUCGCCUUUUGUGCUUUCUCAAUGAUCGUCGCGUAGUUUGCGGUCGUCGUCAGGGUUCACAACGCCGUUCGUAAUCGGUUUCUUGAUCGCCUUCUCAUGACUGGAAACAUUUACCGCCACACUUCUUGCAACAGCUAGUAAGAAAUUACCAAUUUACAUGCGCGUUGGUUUUGUGGCCAUUUUACAAAAUCGUGUUGGUAUGAUGCACUAAUCCUAUUUUAAUUUUCUUUUAUGCGUUCUUUGACAUGUUUGUAAACUGGUAAUGUGCUUGCACGCAUAAUGUUAAGGUAUGGUGAUGUUGAUGUACACACAGUUUUACAGUCUAUUUCAUCCCUAUUUCGUGGAAGGUUAAGUGAAUCCAUGAUUAAUUUAUAAUUGGAGUCUGAUCGUAGGCAAACUGAAAAUGGAAGUUGGAGCUACCCUUGAUAAAAAAUUAGAGUGAAAUUGUUUCAGUUUGGAUCCACUUAUCUCCAAUCAAUCUUAACAUAUUGUUUAAUCAGGAUAUGGUUUUGGCAUCUGAAAUUCAAGCAAUGCAUUGGAAGUUUCAUUAAACAGGUUUUGCCCUUGAAACCAAUUUAUUGGUUAUAUUGUGACAAGAGGAGCCUACAAAAGCAAAAGGGCAAAAUAUUUAACAAGUCCACUAAACCAUUUAAAAGAUUGUCGGAAUGCAUGCAUUGAAAGCGGCAAUGCAUUGGAAGUUAAAUAUUUUGCUCUUGAAACCAAUUUAUUGGUUAACGAGUCCACUAAACCAUUUAAGAGAUUGUCGGAACGCAUGCAUUGAAAGCGGCAAUGCAUAGGAAGUUAAAUAUUUUGCCCUUGAAACCAAUUUAUUGGUUAUAUCGUGACAAGGGGAGCCUAUAGAAUUGAAAGGGCAAAAUAUUUAACUAGUCCUCUAAACCAUAUAGGAGAUUGUCAAAUUCAUGCAUUGAAAGCGGCAAUGCAUUGAAAGUUAAAUAUUUUGUCAUUGAAACCAAUUUAUUGGUUAUAUUGUGACAAGGGGGAGCCUAUAGUAGCAAAAGGGCAAAAUAUUUAACUAGUCCACUAAACCAUAUAAGUGAUUGUCAGAAUACAUUAAAAGCAGUAAUGUAUUGGAAGUUAAAUAUUUUGCUGUUGAAACCAAUUUAUUAGUUAUAUUGUGACAAGAGGAGCCUAUAAAAGCGAAGGGCAAAAUAUUUAUCUAGUCCAUUAAACCUAUAAGAGAAUGUUAGAUAUGCAUGCAUUGAAAGCAACAAUGCAUUGGAAGUUAGUUUGUUGCCUUUGAAACCAUUUUGUUGGUUAUAUUGUGACAAGAGGAGCCUAUAAAAGCAAAAUGACAAAAUAUUUAAAGAGCCCAUUAAACCAUAUAAGAGAUUUUCAGAAUGCACGUAUUGAAAGUGGCAAUGCAUUGGAAUUUAAAUAUUUUGUUGUUGAAACCAAUUUAUUGGUUAUAUUGUGACAAGAGGUGCCUAUUAAUGCGAAAAUAUUUAACGAGUCCACUAAACCAUUUAAGAGAUUGUUGAAAUGCAUGCAUUGAAAGCGGCAAUGCAUUGGAAGUUAAAUAUUUUGCCCUUGAAACCAAUUUAUUGGUUAACGAGUCCACUAAACCAUUUAAGAGAUUGUCGAAACGCAUGCAUUGAAAGCGGCAAUGCAUAGGAAGUUAAAUAUUUUGCCCUUGAAACCAAUUUAUUGGUUAUAUCGUGACAAGAGGGGAGCCUAUAGAAUCAAAAGGGCAAAAUAUUUAAUGAGUCCUCUAAACCAUAUAAGAGAUUGUCAAAUUCAUGCAUUGAAAGCGGCAAUGCAUUGGAAGUUAAAUAUUUUGCCAUUGAAACCAAUUUAUUGGUUAACGAGUCCGCCAAACGUUUUAAGAGAUUGUCGGAACACAUGCAUUGAAAGCGUCAAUGCAUAGGAAGUUAAAUAUUUUGCCCUUGAAACAAAUUUAUUGGUUAUAUCGUGACAAGAGGGGAGCCUAUAGAAUCAAGAGGGCAAAAUAUUUAAUGAGUCCUCUUAACCAUAUAAGAGAUUGUCAAAUUCAUGCAUUGAAAGCGGCAAUGCAUUGGAAGUUAAAUAUUUUGCCAUUGAAACCAGUGUAUUGGUUAUAUUGUCACAAGAGGGAGCCUAUCGUAUCAAAGGGGCAAAAUAUUUAACUAGUCCUCUAAACCAUAAGAGAUUGUCAAAUUAUAUUGUGACAAGAGGGAGCCUAUCGUAGCAAAAGGGCAAAAUAUUUAACAAAUCCACUAAACCAUAUAAGUGAUUGUCAGAAUGCAUGCAUUGAAAGCAGCAAUGUAUUAGAAGUUAAAUAUUUUGCCGUUGAAACCAAUUUGUUGGUUAUAUUGUGACAAGAGGAGCCCAUGGACGCGAAAAGUGAAAUAUUUUACUAAGUCCACUAAGCCAUACGAGAGAUUGUAUUUUGAUUUACCCAAAGUUAAGGAAGCAUUAGUAGCUAUGUUGAAACUUCUAAGAAUAGAACAAUAGUUCUGACUUCUUGGGAAGCACAAAAUAAGUGAGUACUUGAAUUAUGGUUUUGAGAAUAAAGAAUUCAUGACACUGUAAAACAUGGCCUAGUGAUUGGGGAAGCAGUGCAAGCUCCAAGAAUUAUUCCAUCUGAUGCAUUCCAUCUUGUCUACAAAAGUCUUCACGUUUUUGCUUUAAUUGACAAGAGUUUUACUAAAUAUAAGUUUAAGGCGGAUUUAAUUCAAAAUUUCAAUUUCUCGAGGCCAAAGUUAGAAGAUUAUUGUCUUUAAUGCUGUCUUGUAGUUCCACCUGGGAUGGUCAUUUCUUAAAUGCUAUCUUUCUCAAGCUUGAGGGAGCACAGAUGAUUGAACUAAUUUUUUUCCUGGAAUGAGGUACGAUGAGGCAAACAGGAGAGGAGUCUUUAUUGCUAUUCUGGUCGCAUUUAAUAAAUACCCAGCUGAUAACUUGAGAAUAAUUGUUACUGCAUAGAGUAAGUAUGCAUUAAUAACAAUGUUUUGAGCCCUUUAGUUAUUUUUAUGGUGCAGUUUUUUUAAAAAUUUAUUGGUAGAGUAACCCCAUGUUGUAUUGUUUCAUGGCUCAUAUUGGCUCAGUUCUUUCAUAUGGUGUUUGUGAGGAUCAUGGGUACUGAUUUUUGUAUUCUGUGCUUCUAUCAUUUUUUAUUCAUCCGGAAGUUCAGAUCAAGCCAUAGUCACGGUCUUCCGCUCAACGAAUCACAACCACCAUCAGGUGGGUGCAAACAGAAAGGGGUCCAAGGGAUCAGCCAUCAGGUACGAGGACAGAACCAAAAUAGAUGCUGGUAUAAUAUGGGGUCUCCGAGAAUUGGAGAAGUCCAGUUAGGACUGGCCUGUUCACAAGGACAGGUAGAUUGCCUUUUGGCGGUUCCUUCUAUU